GGAAACCAACACGAGCCUGGGUGUUACGCUCCAUCAAACGUCAUUUAAGAACGAGAGGAAACCGUGGAAGGAGCCUCGGUGUCCUUCGACAGAUGACGGGAUCUUUGGGGACGUGGAGUCCAGACACCACGGAGCAUACGAAGCAGGUUGGAGCAGAGCACGGUGUCACGCUGCGUUUAUGGACGUGAGGACUAGUGUUGUCCAGUCGUGAUCUGGAGGUCGUGACAUGGAGCCCCGUGUCGAGCUCCGUGCUCAGCACAGAGUCUGCUUGCGAUUCUGUCUCCCUCUCCCUGUGACCCUCCUCUCUCCCUCUAAAUAAAUAAAUAAAUAAAUAAAUAAAUAA